UACGUAGGGUCCGAGCGUUGUCCGGAAUUAUUGGGCGUAAAGGGCUCGUAGGCGGUUUGUCGCGUCGGCCGUGAAAACCUGCAGCUUAACUGUGGGCGUGCGGUCGAUACGGGCAUCACUGGAGUUCGGCAGGGGAGACUGGAAUUCCUGGUGUAGCGGUGAAAUGCGCAGAUAUCAGGAGGAACACCGGUGGCGAAGGCGGGUCUCUGGGCCGUAACUGACGCUGAGGAGCGAAAGCGUGGGGAGCGAACAGG
rnacentral:rRNA from 1 species